GUGCUCGCUUCGGCAGCACAUAUACUAAAAUAGGAAAGAUACAAAGAAGAUUAGCAUGGCCCCUGCACAAGGAUGACGCGCAAGUUCAUGAAGCGUUCCACAGUUUU
ensembl:snRNA U6 U6 spliceosomal RNA